AGCAUGUUUAACAGUUAGCACGCGUUAUGGUAAACUCUCCGACGCUAGUGGAUUUUACAUAUCAGACCCACCAAUGGAACAAAAAUAGAAAUAUAAGUGUUGAUUGUUCGACAUGCAGAGAUGUUUUGACAUGAUUCAUUCCACUUCAGUUGAUGUGGUUUUAACUGCUCUCAUUUUCUUUAUCAACAGUAUGUUUAUUCAUAUUUCGAAACUUAUCUAAGUGUUUACGUUAAGAAGUUUGCAGCGUGCGUAUUAAUUGCGAAAUGUCUGUAUCGCAUCUCUCUAUAUAUAUGAGGUGAUCUAUCUGUGACCGUAUUAAAGAAACAAGGAUUGCGAAUCAGUGAUAUCAACCUUUACAGGCGAUUUCACGUAUUACCACUUGUUUAAAAUUUUAUUAUCCAAUCAAGUCAUGUACGUAAACACCGUUUUGAUAACCACGGCAGUCUUGUUUGUGUGCGCAUGCGCUGUUCCAAUGACAUCAUCGACAACAACAACGACAACAACAGCACCCUCGCCGACACCAGUGGUUUCAUCAUCUGCACCCGAAUCAGAACAAUCAUCCCAGCCAAGUAUACGAGACGCUGCUGUUUUCCUGUGUGCAGACCUCGUUUAUCAGAGUGAGCUAUUAGCAAUAUUCCCCCCUGCGGAUAGUUCGGUACACAACAUAAUAAAUGAAACUAGAGCGAAAGAAUACCAUGACAGAAGUAUGGACUUGUUCUGUGAAAAUGACACAUUUGUCGCCUAUACGCUGUGCGUCAACAUUCUAUCAAUAUUCAGAAAUAAAGCUAUUGACAGACAAAUUGGUGAAUACAUAGAUAUGAGCAAAUUUGGAUCAGCAAUGAAGACUUACUGUAUUAACAAGGAACUCGUCAAACAAAAUUACGGGUGUGUUCUUGAUGUAGUGCGGAGUAGAUCAGCUCCCUGUCAGUUGGGGGGAAUGUAUGGACUGAUGCAGGGUGUUGGGAUGGGUUUGAGGCUUGGACUCAGCAAGGAAGUAUAUUGUCCGAUCCGUUCUGCUGCUAUAUCUUGUAGAAGUGCGCAGUUUGCAAGGUGUAAUGGCGAUCUUGCCAGGGAAAUGGAGUCCGUCUAUAAUGACCUUUCAACCAAACGUUGUAUGUGAGCUCAAAAUUGUUAUUGAAUUCUGUGAUGUUUUAAUGUGUUUCGUUUUCUUGAAAUAAAAGACCACCAAUGCAUGUAAAUUUAACUAACGAGAUAAUAAGACAGCGAAAUGAGGACGAUGCUGUUUUAUUUUAUCAAUUUAAACACUCAUUAUUUUUCAAGGUGCAAUCAUGGUUUGGUUUAAAAUAUAUCAUAUACAUAUAUAAACAAUAUGGCAAUAAUUAAAUGCAAAAUGUAAACAAUAUUACAUUCUUAUAAUUAAUCAAAUAAAUUAGGAUCAAUGCAUUUCGAAACUAGGGUACAAAAUUGAAAAUUAUCCAGAAUGGUUUAUUUGAGUAAUCUGUUCAUCUUCGAAUAUUAAACAGUAUUAUCAUUACAUGUUGCGUAUAUAUAGAUGUAUUGCUGUUUUGUUUGCAAAAAAUGAAAAGUUCUACAAUUUGACGA